GACACUAUGGCCGAGUGGUUAAGGCGCACGCCUGCUAAGCGUGUAUCUUCGGAUGCGCAAGUUCGAAUCUUGCUGGUGUCG
rfam:Talaromyces stipitatus ATCC 10500 scf_1105507295527 genomic scaffold, whole genome shotgun sequence.